AUGAAUAGUUUUAAGGACUAAUCGAUAAAUCUUCUCUUUAUUGAACCUAAAUAGUCCUAAGAACUUCAUCAUAACAAUGGAGUUCAUUAGAAGAUGAAAAUUUAUAAUGAAAAUACCAAAAAUAUAUUUUAUUUAUUAUCAAAUCAAUUACAAUACACAGUUGCUCAACCGCCAACAGAUUGACGAUUGGCUUUUGGGAUAUUUUUUUCAACAGUAUGAUCGUAGUGAGCUCUCCCAAUCCAUCAGUGAUAUCUAGCAAUAUGUAGUGGCACGCCAGU
rnacentral:lncRNA from 1 species